CCCACUUUUCUUUGUGUGUGUGCGUGCCACGUGUGCAUGCCUGACCUCACGAGCAUCUCCGGCUCUCUAUGGGAGGAAAACGGUUUCCACACUGGGCCUUUACAUAUGAAAAACAGAAGUGCAUCUUUCACAAAACUGUCCAGGUGUCAUCUUACCUGUGAAGUCUUUUGGGGACGCUUCAGAGGGAGUGAGUAACCCCUUCCUCCAUACUCCCACGCCCUUCUUCAUCUCAACGCCCAAGUCGGACUUCACCCCAAAUACAACCUGACCAGGCAAUUUGCAAUGCGGGAGCCAGAAACAUACGUAUUUGGGAGCUGAAAAGAAGGUGAGGUGAUGGGGAUUUUUCUGCACCAUACAAGUUUAAAAUGGUGGGGCGUGUCUGUCAUCUUAGAAGACGUACUAUGUCUCUAACAACCCACACGAUAAAGCGAUUUAACAUGUGCGUUCAGUAGGCUUCCCG
ensembl:lncRNA